GGGGGACUGCCGGAUCCUGGGCUGUGUCCCCCAGCGUCCUGGUCUCCGGGGCCUGCGCUGCUGGAAUCAUGCUCCCGGGACUGAGCAGAACCCU
rnacentral:pre_miRNA from 1 species